CGUGUGCGCUUCCCAUCUCUCGUUCGAAUAUUUGCUACUACCACCGAGAUCUGCACCCGCGGUCGGUUUCACCCGGGCUCGCGCCCGUGGCUUCCAUGCACGCCGCGGCGCCCUCCUACUCGACCGGGCAUCGGAAAGAAAAAAGAUGGG